rnacentral:miRNA from 1 species
CUUGGCACCAUUAAAAAGUACA